rnacentral:rRNA from 1 species
UACGUAGGGUGCAAGCGUUGUCCGGAAUUAUUGGGCGUAAAGAGCGUGUAGGCGGUCCUGUAAGUCCGCUGUGAAAGUCAAGGGCUCAACCCUUGAAUGCCGGUGGAUACUGCAGGACUAGAGUCCGGAAGAGGCGAGUGGAAUUCCUGGUGUAGCGGUGAAAUGCGCAGAUAUCAGGAGGAACACCGAUGGCGAAGGCAGCUCGCUGGGACGGUACUGACGCUGAGACGCGAAAGCGUGGGGAGCAAACAGG